UAAAAUAUAAGAGUUGGUUUGGACUGCUCCUGGAUCCUCAGUUUCAACUCGACGACGAGUAUAUCGACUCGCUCAUGAUGCUAACGGCGAGGAAGGUUGAGAAGUGUAAACAUCUAUUGCGUGUGCGAUUCGCAAUAGGCGACGUACUUCUAUCCAACUUGCUACGACGAACAGACGGG